AUCCUUUUGUAUAGUUCAUAAGUGUGAUGACUGGGGUUUUCACCUCAUGUGUAAGAUGUGCCUCCCUCAAACCUUACUACAAGGUCAGCACAUUACCUGUCUGACA
rnacentral:snoRNA from 1 species